rnacentral:lncRNA from 1 species
GAUAAUCACAAAAAUAUGCUCGAGUGUGGGUCGGCCUUCUUUUCCAAUCUGAAUGCUAAAUUUCCAAUGCCAAUCUCUUCUUAUCAAACCAUUCAAUCAAUCUCAAAUCCAACUAGUAGAUUGAAAGAAAUCUUAAAAACCCUCAUUGAACCUAAAAUUCUACUUUUUGAGACCUUGACCCACUUAAACCUUAAUAAUCCUCAAUUCAACCAUUAGAUCUAGUUAAAAUUCACAACACAUAUUAAGUACAACUAUAACCAUUAACCUACAAAAUUUCACCUAUAGAUUUAUUACAAAACUCUUGAAAUCAUCCAAAACGUCAAUCCUAUUUUAUUUUAUAAAAUCCAAGUCAUCUGAAAACAAACUUGACUUUGUAAAGCUCUUACAAAGUCAUUACAAAUCCAAAUCAU